UAAUCCUACGGGACGCAGCAGUGAGGAAUAUUGGUCAAUGGACGAGAGUCUGAACCAGCCAAGUCGCGUGAGGGAAGACUGCCCUAUGGGUUGUAAACCUCUUUUGUCAGGGAGCAAUUGGCGCUACGUGUAGCGUUAUCGAGAGUACCUGAAGAAAAAGCAUCGGCUAACUCCGUGCCAGCAGCCGCGGUAAUACGGAGGAUGCGAGCGUUAUCCGGAUUUAUUGGGUUUAAAGGGUGCGUAGGCGGAAUGCCAAGUCAGCGGAAAAAUCGCGGG
rnacentral:rRNA from 1 species